rnacentral:lncRNA from 1 species
UCUUCCGCUAGAGAAUUCCGGCUCCUCCCGCAAUGGAGAGGGUGCUCUGGAAGCUCUGGGGUUGGGGUCUCUUCGUCCCUGCAGGUCGGUGGUAGGAUGAAAGAGGAGACAGCGGGCUUGGAGGCACCAUAGGGAGGCGGGGCUGACGUGCCACAGUUGGUGGGAGCAGAGGCGCGGGCACAUCUCAGGGGGGCGGGGCCUGAUGCGCAGCUAUGCUUCCAGAGUGCUCUGUGCAUUUCCAUGAUCAACAAACGAUGAAUAAAUCUCUGG